GAGGCCUGGCAUGCUGCAACGGGGUCGCAAAGAGUCGGAUAUGACAGAGUGACUGGACUGAACUGAACCCUCACGUGAUCACCUAUUCAUGAUCACUUGAAUAGCUUAUUCAUCCCACCACACUUUCCUGGUGAAUUUACUCUCUAGGUCUCGUACAUGACUAUCUCAUUUCUCCAACCUUGAACAUCUUUUCCUUCCUUCCUCUCAAUGAUGACAUUCCUUACCUUACUGAAAGAACAGAAUCAACAGAAGAAGACUUCUACAAGUCUGUACCUAAACCCAUCAAUCUCCUUGCACUUCUGCCUGCCCUCCCAUCACUGUGGCUGCAUGUCGAACAGACAUCUCUCCAUUCUCCUGUCUAAGUCUGACAUCUACUUGGAUGCCUGGUUAUCAUCGCUUCCCAUCCAUCUGAGGACAUUAGGCUUACCAAUGUCCCUUCUCUCAUUUCAUUUUCCUACUCUAUUGGGUCAUUUCCAUUUAACAAGCUUUAAAAAAAACCAACCUCCCUUCAUCCUUUAUUUUCAUCGAGCUAUCAUCCCAUUUCUCUGCUCCCCUGUAUAGAAAAUUUCUACAAGAGUCAUCCAUACUCAUAAGUCAUCUAUCUUUGUUACAUCAUGCUUUCUCUCGCCACUCUGUCCUGAACCCAGUAUUGUAACACAGCCCAGUAAGCUCAAGCCCUUAGCACAGAAGCCAUUGCUCUGCAUCAUUCCACCACAGCCUGUUGCCAGGCAACGGGUCCGGCCCAGUCAUUGGUCAGUGCCUCAGUGGGCCCCGCCCACAAGCAACCAACAGUUAAGAAAUGACAGUUAGUGAGGGAAUUCAGACAACAGUGGAGUGGUGGUCAUGAGGUGGAGAGUGCGGGCUUCAGAAUCCUCACCAAGGACACCCACCAUCUUUGGCCCAGGCCUUGAGGCAGUGGUGAACCUCUCCACCAUCCUUGUUUCUGCGACCUAAUAGCAGCGGCAGUGUGCCUGGGCCGCAGUCUGUGGGACCUGGUCUCUCCCUUUUGGGUGGCCUGAGGAGCCUAAGAGUCAGUUGGGUUGGACGUCUGGCUCCUUCAGUGAUGAAGGCUGGGCAGGAUGUGGGAACCUGGCCCUGAAGAAGCUGCCAACUGGGUUCUGCUGCCUCUGGGACAGGACCUUGGUGGGUGAAAGCUGUACCUUGGGAUCUUGCCCUUUCUUGUCAGGACAGAGAAUAACAUUCAUUUGCUAGAGAUUUACAGGAACAUUGUUACCUGACCAUGACCUGACUUCAAAAACAAAGGAUCUGACACCAGGAAGUCUGCAACAACUAACCACGCCCCUCCGUCAGCUUUUUGCUUUUAAAGGGGCUUUGCUGAAACCUUUCAGUAGCUUUGGGCUUCUUAAGGCCCAGAACCAUCUCCUUCCAUGGCCCUGUGAUAAACCUUUCCCUGUUCCAAACUCCA